UACGAAGGGUGCAAGCGUUACUCGGAAUUACUGGGCGUAAAGCGUGCGUAGGUGGUUGUUUAAGUCUGUUGUGAAAGCCCUGGGCUCAACCUGGGAAUUGCAGUGGAUACUGGGCGACUAGAGUGUGGUAGAGGGUAGUGGAAUUCCCGGUGUAGCAGUGAAAUGCGUAGAGAUCGGGAGGAACAUCCAUGGCGAAGGCAGCUACCUGGACCAACACUGACACUGAGGCACGAAAGCGUGGGGAGCAAUCAGG
rnacentral:rRNA from 1 species